CCCUAGCCCUGAUUGAAGCAUUUGUUUGAGCUCAUUUUCUGUUUUUUUUUCGGGCGAGCCUUUGGCUCGCCCGAAAAAAAAACAGAAAAUAGCGAGUGCGGAAAGCAGGAUAAAGC
rnacentral:misc_RNA from 1 species